CUCUCCCGCAAACUCACGACUAGUCCACACUUUUAACUUUCUUCUUCGCAAUGUUGCUCCUCCUCCUACCAACUUAACCACCACAAACUUUGCAACUCCCUUCACUGACAAGAUCUCUACAAUCAAGGAAGAGAUCUCUCUCCUUCCCCUUACAAUACUUCCCCCAACCUCACUCCCUCUGCUGUUUUAUGCUCAUUCGCAUGCGCUACGGCGGAAGAUGUUUCUG